rnacentral:lncRNA from 1 species
CAGCUGUAUUCUGUUGUAAGACAUUACCAGAUCAACGUUUCAGAAGAGCAAAUUGCCAUAUACACAAUCCUUUGCAUCAAGUUUAAUCAACUAAAAACAGUUAUAAAGUUCAGCAAACUAAAUAAAGAUGCCACUAUAACUAAAUUUAGGGAUAAUUUGGAAGAAUGUAUCACUGAUCUCCGAGUGGAUGUUAGUAAUUUAAAAGCCAAAAUAAGAACUCCUGUUCUGCUGUGUACCAACACCAUUGUGCCAACAGCAAAGGAGAUGAUCCAGACUCUCUCUGAGGAGGCUGCCAGCCUGGCUCACAAAGCUAGAAUGUAUGCAAACUACCAGGAUCAUUUCAGUGACGCCCAGGCUCAUAUGCGUUCUCUCAAUGUGGAAGAAAUCACACAGAUUAUGCUCUCAGAGAUCUCUGACAUUGACUGUGAGUUAACUUUGAGGAAAAUACUGUGGGAAAGCACAGGAGGAAUGGGGCACGCUCUUCCGGGAGUGGAGGAACUGUUCUCUUCAGAGUAUUGACGUAGACUUAGUGCAAAGAAAUGUUUCCAAAUGGCUGCAUACAAUCUUUGUACUAGAAAAAGGUAAGAGUAUGUUUCUCAAACUCUUCUCCCCACCUGGGGUCACACACCUGGGGUCUCUGGGAAGCAGGUUCACCGUCCAUGUUGAAGCUGCUGGACCUGUUCUCGGGCCUGAGUGUUGUGGCCAGAGAUACUGAGAUACAAGGGUGCAAGAGCCUAGGUAGGAACUGAGAUUAGAGCUUCGCCCUCCUCCCCCAGUUAAAUAGUUAAAACAAUUUUGUAAUCUUUAAAAGUUGGCUCCUGAAUUUUCUUAGAGUUUUGGACAGAGAUGCUUUGAUGAUAGCGGCU